rnacentral:rRNA from 1 species
UACGUAGGGGGCAAGCGUUGUCCGGAUUUAUUGGGCGUAAAGCGCUCGCAGGUGGUUCGUUGCGUCGUGCGUGAAAGACCCCGGCUCAACUGGGGAGGGUCGUGCGAUACGGGCGAACUGGAGGCCAGUAGGGGGAUGCGGAAUUCCGGGUGUAGUGGUGGAAUGCGUAGAGAUCCGGAGGAACACCAGCGGCGAAGGCGGCAUCCUGGACUGGUCCUGACACUCAGGAGCGAAAGCGUGGGGAGCGAUCCGG